rnacentral:tRNA from 1 species
GGAAGGGUGGCCGAGUUGGUUAUGGCGCCAGGUUAAGGUCAGCUUAACACCUGUUUCCUGGUGGGGCAACCCGCGCGAGUUCGAGUCUCGUCCCUUUCA